CUUCAUUACUCACAAAGGCUCAACGCAGAGUCGUGGGAAGGGCCGUGAAGUUCGCGGUGUUGAACGUCGGGGGGCGGGAACACUAAGGGGUGUGCUGAAGUUUCCCUCAAUGAUGUUCGUUAUCGGUGAGCUGCGCUGAGGUACAUUCACCACCAGAGAACCAGAAGACUGCAGAAGCUGGAUCAAGGAGACUGGGCAGAUCUUUGGAACAGCUUAAAAAAUGAAAUCAGGAGCCUCCACUGAAAAGACUCCAUCGCCUCUGCUUUUAAGCCUGGAUCUCAGAGUCUCCGGGAGCAGCUGGUUCAUAGUCCGCGGUGCUCUGGCAGGAUUAUAGGGUUUCAAAAGUUCUGGCAUCAAAUCAUUGAUACUCUUAAAAACAGAUAAUACCAUUUUAAACUGGAUCCUGAAAUAGACUGGAAGCUAGUGUAAGGAGGCCAGUAGGGGAGAGAGGGGUGACAUGUGCCAGUUUUACUUAAAGUGACUUUAAAGCAAGAACAUGACAGUAAUGCUUCCAACUAAAAUAUGUUCAUAUAUUCAGGAAUCUGUGGGAACGAUCAGUUUGGAUGUGAAAUACAGUAUUUAACAAAUUUAACGUUCUGAAACAAAAAGGUCUUUUUUGGAGAGAAUACCUUUGGGUAAACUGUACAAUUGAUUAUUAAAGUAAAACA